rnacentral:rRNA from 1 species
UACGUAGGGACCAAGCGUUGUUCGGAUUUACUGGGCGUAAAGGGCGCGUAGGCGGCUUAACAAGUCACCUGUGAAAUCUCCGGGCUUAACUCGGAACGGCCAAGUGAAACUGUCAAGCUAGAGUGCAGAAGGGGCAAUCGGAAUUCUUGGUGUAGCGGUGAAAUGCGUAGAUAUCACUUGGAACGCCAAUGGUGAAGACAGCUCGCUGGGGGUGUUCUGACGCUGAGGCGCGAAAGCCAGGGGAGCGAACGGG